rnacentral:lncRNA from 1 species
AAUAUGGGACACCCCAAAACUUAUUUUUCAUGUGAAAUCAGAUCUUAAUCUGAUUUCCCAUGAUGAGAAACCUUAUUUUGUCACACAAAAUAAUGCAAUAAAAAGCAAGUGGCGGCAAGAGUUGUAGAUAAAGUCAAACCUUAUCUUAUAUGGUAUCCCAUUCAAAUCAAAUUUGAACAUACCAUAUAAUAUCAGAUUUUACUCAAAUUUAAAUGUGAGAUAGAAAAAUGAAAGAGCUCUUUCACAUAAAAAAAAUCUCAUGCAAAAGCUAUUUGUACAUGGAGAAAAGUGGCAUCCAAAGUAAGAGGCACA